AGCACCCGAUAAUUACCCUGUGAUCAUUAUAGCACGCUUACAUAGCCCUAGCACAGAGCAGAUGCCACUUUAGGUGUUGUACAUUGAGAAAGAAUCCUGCAAGUAAUAGCCACAAUCCACAUGCACUCCCAAUCUGAGAUUUUUGUAAGUUUCACUUCCUCACUUCACUCAAAUAUUACUUCCUCAGAGAGAUGGUCGCUAACCGUGCUAUCUAAAAUAGUAUCUCCUCACUGUCAUUUGCUGGCUCCAUAUUUUGCUUUAUUUCUCUUCAAUGUACUUGUCACCACCCGGAAUUGUAUUUAUUUGUUUGUGGUAGGUUCCCCCAUUAGAAUGUAAGCUCCAUUGAGGCAGG
rnacentral:lncRNA from 1 species